rnacentral:rRNA from 1 species
CCCUUAGAUGUUCUGGGCCGCACGCGCGCUACACUGACGAAUGCAACGAGCUUAUAACCUUGGCCGAAAGGUCUGGGUAAUCUCCAAAUUUCGUCGUGAUGGGGAUAGAUUAUUGCAAUUAUUAAUCUUCAACGAGGAAUGCCUAGUAAGCGCAAGUCAUCAGCUUGCGUUGAUUACGUCCCUGCCCUUUGUACACACCGCCCGUCGCUCCUACCGAUUUCGAGUGGUUCGGUGAACCUUUCGGACCGGCAAUGCCUCGUGUUGCGCCGGAAAGUCAAGUAAACCAUAUCACUUAGAGGAAGGAGAAGUCGUAACA